rnacentral:rRNA from 1 species
UACAGAGGUGUCAAACGUUGUUCGGAGUUACUGGGCGUAAAGGGCGCGUAGGCGGCGAUCCAAGUUAGGCGUGAAAGCCCCGGGCUUAACCUGGGAAUUGCGCUUAAGACUGGACUGCUUGAGUGCGGGAGAGGUGAGUGGAAUUCCCAGUGUAGAGGUGAAAUUCGUAGAUAUUGGGAAGAACACCAGUGGCGAAGGCGGCUCACUGGCCCGCAACUGACGCUGAGACGCGAAAGCUAGGGGAGCGAACAGG